rnacentral:rRNA from 1 species
UACGGGGGGGGCAAGCGUUGUUCGGAAUUACUGGGCGUAAAGGGCGCGUAGGCGGCCAACUAAGUCAGACGUGAAAUCCCCAGGCUCAACCUGGGAACUGCGUCUGAUACUGGAUGGCUUGAAUUCGGGAGAGGGAUGCAGAAUUCCAGGUGUAGCGGUGAAAUGCGUAGAUAUCUGGAGGAAUACCGGUGGCGAAGGCGGCAUCCUGGACCGACAUUGACGCUGAGGAGCGAAAGCUAGGGGAGCAAACGGG